GACGGAGGGUGCUAGCGUUGUUCGGAAUCACUGGGCGUAAAGGGCGCGUAGGCGGCCUUGCAAGUCGGUUGGUGAAAGCCCGGGGCUCAACCCCGGAGGUGCGGCCGAGACUGCAGGGCUGGAGGCCGGAAGAGGAGGGUGGAAUACCCAGUGUAGAGGUGAAAUUCGUAGAUAUUGGGUGGAACACCGGUGGCGAAAGCGGCUCUCUGGUCCGGACCUGACGCUGAGACGCGAAGGCGUGGGGAGCGAAUGGG
rnacentral:rRNA from 1 species